rnacentral:rRNA from 1 species
UACGAAGGGGGCUAGCGUUGUUCGGAAUUACUGGGCGUAAAGCGUGCGCAGGCGGCUUCUCAAGUCAGGGGUGAAAGCCCAGAGCUCAACUCUGGAAUUGCCUUUGAGACUGAGUGGCUUGAGUACGAGAGAGGUGAGUGGAAUUCCCAGUGUAGAGGUGAAAUUCGUAGAUAUUGGGAAGAACACCGGUGGCGAAGGCGGCUCACUGGCUCGUAACUGACGCUCAUGCACGACAGCGUGGGGAUCAAAUAGG